UUAUCAAAAACAUGUCUUUUUGAAAAUAAUAUAAAGUCUAAUCUGCCCACUGAUUUUAUAUUGAAGGGCUGCAGUAAUUUGACUGUACAAAGGUAGCAUAAUCAUUAGUCAUUUAAUUGAUGACUUGUAUGAAAGAUUGGAUGAAAUAUGAUCUGUCUCUUAAUUAAAUUAUAAAAUUUAAUUUUUUAUUUAAAAAGAUAAAAUAAAUUAAAAAGACGAGAAGACCCUAUAGAGUUUUAUAAUUAUUUUAAUUGAAAUUAUUUAUAAAUAUAAUAAAUUUAAAUUAAAUUAAUUAUUUUGUUGGGGUGACAGAAAAAUUAAAAAAACUUUUUUUAUAUAAAUAACAAAAAUAAUUGAAUAUAUGAUCCAAUUUUAUUGAUUAUAAGAAAAAAUUACCUUAGGGAUAACAGCGUAAUUUUUUUUUUUAGUUCAAAUAAAAAAAAGAGUUUGCGACCUCGAUGUUGGAUUAAGAUAAAAUUUAAAUG
rnacentral:rRNA from 1 species